rnacentral:rRNA from 1 species
ACGAUGAACCACUUCGGUGGGGAUUAGUGGCGAACGGGUGAGUAACACGUGGGCAAUCUGCCCUGCACUCUGGGACAAGCCCUGGAAACGGGGUCUAAUACCGGAUAUGAGUCUCCAUCGCAUGGUGGGGGCUGUAAAGCUCCGGCGGUGCAGGAUGAGCCCGCGGCCUAUCAGCUUGUUGGUGAGGUAAACGGCUCCACCAAGGCGACGACGGGUAGCCGGCCUGAGAGGGCGACCGGCCACACUGGGACUGAGACACGGCCCAGACUCCUACGGGAGGCAGCAGUGGGGGAAUAUUGCACAAUGGGCGAAAGCCUGAUGCAGCGACGCCGCGUGAGGGAUGACGGCCUUCGGGUUGUAAACCUCUUUCAGCAGGGAAGAAGCGAAAGUGACGGUACCUGCAGAAGAAGCGCCGGGCUAACUACGUGCCAGCAGCCGCGGUAAUACGUAGGGCGCGAGCGUUGUCCGGAAUUAUUGGGCGUAAAGAGCUCGUAGGCGGCUUGUCACGUCGGUUGUGAAAGCCCGGGGCUUAACCCCGGGUCUGCAGUCGAUACGGGCAGGCUAGAGUUCGGUAGGGGAGAUCGGAAUUCCUGGUGUAGCGGUGAAAUGCGCAGAUAUCAGGAGGAACACCGGUGGCGAAGGCGGAUCUCUGGGCCGAUACUGACGCUGAGGAGCGAAAGCGUGGGGAGCGAACAGGAUUAGAUACCCUGGUAGUCCACGCCGUAAACGGUGGGCACUAGGUGUGGGCAACAUUCCACGUUGUCCGUGCCGCAGCUAACGCAUUAAGUGCCCCGCCUGGGGAGUACGGCCGCAAGGCUAAAACUCAAAGGAAUUGACGGGGGGCCCGCACAAGCGGCGGAGCAUGUGGCUUAAUUCGACGCAACGCGAAGAACCUUACCAAGGCUUGACAUACACCGGAAAACCCUGGAGACAGGGUCCCCCUUUGUGGUCGGUGUACAGGUGGUGCAUGGCUGUCGUCAGCUCGUGUCGUGAGAUGUUGGGUUAAGUCCCGCAACGAGCGCAACCCUUGUCCCGGUGUUGCCAGCAGGCCCUUGUGGUGCUGGGGACUCACGGGAGACCGCCGGGGUUCAACUUCGGAGGAAGGUGGGGACCGACGUCAAGUCAUCAUGCCCCUUAUGUCUUGGGCUGCACACGUGCUACAAUGGCCGGUAACAAUUGAGCUGGCGAUAUCCGCGAGGGUGGAAGCGAAUCUCAAAAAGCCGGUCUCAGUUCGGAUUGGGGUCUGCAACUCGACCCCAUGAAGUCGGAGUCGCUAGUAAUCGCAGAUCAGCAUUGCUGCGGUGAAUACGUUCCCGGGCCUUGUACACACCGCCCGUCACGUCACGAAAGUCGGUAACACCCGAAGCCGGUGGCCCAACCUCCUUGUG